UGGGGAAUAUUGGACAAUGGGGGCAACCCUGAUCCAGCAACGCCGCGUGAAUGAAGAAGGUCUUAGGAUUGUAAAGUUCUUUUGUCUGGGAGCAAAUAUUAUAAGUUAAAAGCUAAUAUUAUUGAGAGUACCAGAAGAAUAAGCACCGGCUAACUACGUGCCAGCAGCCGCGGUAAUACGUAGGGUGCGAGCGUUAAUCGGAAUUACUGGGCGUAAAGAGUGCGUAGGCGGAUAUACAAGUUAGAUGUGAAAUACCUGGGCUCAACCUAGGAGGUGCAUUUAAGACUGUAUGUCUAGAGUUUGUGAGAGGGGGGUAGAAUUCCAAGUGUAGCAGUGAAAUGCGUAGAGAUUUGGAGGAAUACCGAUGGCGAAGGCAGCCCCCUGGGAUAAGACUGACGCUGUGGCACGAAAGCGUGGGUAGCAAACAGG
rnacentral:rRNA from 1 species